rnacentral:rRNA from 1 species
UAGGGAAUCUUCCACAAUGGACGCAAGUCUGAUGGAGCAACACCGCGUGAGUGAAGAAGGGUUUCGGCUCGUAAAGCUCUGUUGUUAAAGAAGAACGUGGGUAAGAGUAACUGUUUACCCAGUGACGGUAUUUAACCAGAAAGCCACGGCUAACUACGUGCCAA